rnacentral:rRNA from 1 species
GACGAACGCUAGCGGCAGGCCUAAUACAUGCAAGUCGGACGGGAUCUAUCGGAGAGCUUGCUCGAAGAUAGUGAGAGUGGCGCACGGGUGCGUAACGCGUGAGCAACCUACCCAUAUCAGGGGGAUAGCCCGGAGAAAUCCGGAUUAAGACCGCAUAACACGGUGAUUUGGCAUCAUGUUACAGUUAAAUAUUUAUAGGAUAUGGAUGGGCUCGCGUGACAUUAGCUAGUUGGUGAGGUAACGGCUCACCAAGGCGACGAUGUCUAGGGGCUCUGAGAGGAGAAUCCCCCACACUGGUACUGAGACACGGACCAGACUCCUACGGGAGGCAGCAGUAAGGAAUAUUGGUCGAUGGGCGGAAGCCUGAACCAGCCAUGCCGCGUGCAGGACGACUGCCCUAUGGGUUGUAAACUGCUUUUGUCGAGGAAUAAACCUAUCUACGUGUAGAUAGCUGAACGUACUCGAAGAAUAAGGAUCGGCUAACUCCGUGCCAGCCGCCGCCGUAA